rnacentral:rRNA from 1 species
UACAGAGGGUGCGAGCGUUAAUCGGAAUUACUGGGCGUAAAGGGUGCGUAGGCGGUUAUAUAAGUUAGAUGUGAAAUCCCCGGGCUUAACCUGGGAAUUGCAUUUAAGACUGUAUGGCUAGAGUAGAGUAGAGGGAAGUGGAAUUUCCGGUGUAGCGGUGAAAUGCGUAGAUAUCGGAAAGAACAUCAGUGGCGAAGGCGGCUUCCUGGACUCAUACUGACGCUGAGGCACGAAAGCAUGGGUAGCAAACAGG